AACCAACAGGGAUUGCCCUAGUAACGGCGAGUGAAGCGGCAACAGCUCAAAUUUGAAAUCUGGCCCUAGCGGUCCGAGUUGUAAUUUGUAGAGGAUGCUUUUGGUUAGGUGCCUUCUGAGUUCCCUGGAACGGGACGCCAGAGAGGGUGAGAGCCCCGUACGGUUGGACACCGAGCCUCUAUAUAGCUCCUUCGACGAGUCGAGUAGUUUGGGAAUGCUGCUCUAAAUGGGAGGUAAAUUUCUUCUAAAGCUAAAUACCGGCCAGAGACCGAUAGCGCACAAGUAGAGUGAUCGAAAGAUGAAAAGUACUUUGAAAAGAGGGUUAAAUAGCACGUGAAAUUGUUGAAAGGGAAGCGUUUGCGACCAGACUUUUUCCAGGCGGAUCAUCCGGUGUUCUCACCGGUGCACUUCGCCUGGUUUAGGCCAGCAUCGGUUCUCUUAGGGGGAUAAAGGCCUGGGGAACGUAGCUCCUUCGGGAGUGUUAUAGCCCCUAGCGUAAUACCCUUCGGGGGACCGAGGAACG
rnacentral:rRNA from 1 species